rnacentral:rRNA from 1 species
GGGAGUCAGUAACGCCCGAAGCCGGUGACCCAACCAAACGGGAGGGAGCCGUCGAAGGUGGGACCGAUAACCUGGGGUGGAAGUCGUAACAAGGUAUC